ACCAGAUUGUGGUGCAGAGAAGCCCCUCCUGAUCUCCAAACAAAAUAAAAUGUUUAUUAUGUUUCGGUCGACAAGGAAAUCAAGAGCAACUGGUUUCAGUGCUACAUAUAAAACACUUUCCUUCUGUGCGGCUAUGAUGACGAAUACCAAAGAUGAAAUAAGAUAUGGCCGUUUUUUGACCCUACCAUAUGACGACCAUUGUACUUGGGUUGUGUUGUCACCGAGAGCACAUUUGGUAGUCUGGAAAUUAACACAUUUCUUCAUUAAAGAAAGUGAAAACUGUGCAGACGGCUACCUGCGUGUUACUGAUACUUCUGGACCAACACCUAUCGUGAAAGGAACACUUUGUGGAAAAAUUGAAGUCCCAUUAAACAUAACCAGCUCUGGACGUACGCUGUUAUUUAACUACUUUCAGAAAGCACCAGGAAUUUCGAUUGGUUUUAGAAGUUCCUUUA